UACGGAGGGUGCAAGCGUUAUCCGGAUUUACUGGGUUUAAAGGGUGCGUAGGCGGAUCUUUAAGUCAGUGGUGAAAUCUCUCGGCUCAACCGAGAAACUACCAUUGAUACUAUUGAUCUUGAAUACAGUUGAGGUGGGCGGAAUGUGUCGUGUAGCGGUGAAAUGCUUAGAUAUGACACAGAACACCGAUUGCGAAGGCAGCUCGCUAAACUGUGAUUGACGCUGAGGCACGAAAGCGUGGGGAUCAAACAGG
rnacentral:rRNA from 1 species